AUCGCGUCUCGGCCUUUUGGCUAAGAUCAAGUGUAGUAUCUGUUCUUACCAGUUUAAAAUUUUUUGUGUUGUUGAUGUUGUUGAUGUUGUUGUUCUUUUAAAUAGAGAAUUCCAAUCAUUCAUCUUAUUUCUCUGUUAAGGCAAACCUGU
rnacentral:snRNA from 1 species